rnacentral:tRNA from 1 species
GGGCGUGUAGCGCAGUUGGUAGCGCGUCUGCCUUGCAAGCAGAAGGUCACUGGUUCAAAUCCUGUCUCGUCCA